UACGUAGGUGACCAGCGUUGUCCGGAUUUACUGGGCGUAAAGAGCGCGCAGGCGGUCGUUCAAGUCGAGUGUGAAAGCCCCCGGCUCAACUGGGGAGGGUCAUUCGAUGCUGAUCGACUGGAAGGCAGGAGAGGGAAGCGGAAUUCCCGGUGUAGUGGUGAAAUGCGUAGAUAUCGGGAGGAACACCAGUGGCGAAGGCGGCUUCCUGGCCUGUUCUUGACGCUGAGGCGCGAAAGCUAGGGGAGCAAACAGG
rnacentral:rRNA from 1 species